rnacentral:misc_RNA from 1 species
AAAGAAAAAACAGAAGAACUGGAAUAGGAUCUGAUUUGUUAUCCUCCUUCCUUCUCCUUACAAGACACAGAUCAGCUGAAUUGAAACGAAAUUAGUGAUUAAAAUUCCCCUGUAAGAGGCUAUCUCUGAUUUACAAUGGAACUUCAUGAACUUCUGGCACGAUCUUCGACAAUGGUCAUCGCAGUGAUACUAAUUGCUAGGAUCAGCUCAUGUCUCAAUACUGCAGUAUUAAGUGAAGUGCAUGCACCUUAUGUUGAUAAUU